CCAACAGAAAUGUGUACUUAGGAGCACCAAAAGACGUGUGCUAAAAUGGUCAAGAGAGCACUAGUCAUAAUAGUUCCAAACUGGAAAACUACACAAAGAUCUUCAACAGUAGAAUGGAUAAAUUUUAGUAUACCUACAAUGGAUUACUUACAGCAGUGAGAACGAUCUAUGACUACAUACUACGAUGUAGAGUGGGAAAGACCAAAAGACCAAGUGUCACCACUUCUCUUGAAUGUCAAGAAAACUCAAAUCUGCUAGAAACAAAAGUGGAAUAGCAAGACCUCCGUUCUCUUUCCCUCCUCCCAAUCAGUUUCUCUACUGCAUUGUGCCAGGAAACAUGAAACCCCAGCAGGGACUCCAGAUGACAGCUCUCAGCAGGACACCUCGCCAAUCACUCUUAAGAUUGGUACUGACCUUUAGAAUUUUCCCCCACGAACAGUGCCCCCCUCCCCCAACUUCUUUCUGUCAGCAGCAGUACGUAGACCUAGCAGCAGCAAUUUCCACAAGCUUUUUGUAUUAGAAAUGAUAACUAGGGUGAGCAUAUAAUUUAUUGUCCAAACUGGAACAUCUUUUUUAAAUGUAGGCACUGGGAGAGUUUUUAAAGUUUUUAUUUUGAGAUAACUGUAUAUGCACAUGCAGCUGUAUGAAAUAAUACAGAGAGAUCCCUGAUACUGCUUACCCACUUUCCCCCAGUAGUAACAUAUUGCAAAACUGUAGUAGAAUAUCACAACCAGGAAACUGACAUUGUUGCAAUCCACUUACCUUAUUCAGAUUUCACUAGUUUUACAUGCAUUCCUUUGUGUGUGUGCAUCUUGCUCUAUGCAAUUUUAUCACAUGUGUAGAAUACUGUGACCACCACCACAGUCAAAAUACAGAAGAGUUCCAUCACAAAGAUCCCUUGUAUUGCCCUUUUAUAACCACUCUCACCUCCUCCCGGCCCUGCCUCCCCCUGCCCCAACCAGGCCCUGGCAACCACUAAUCUGUUCUCCAUCUCUACAAUUUUGUCAUUUCAAAACUUUUAUAUGAAUGGAAUAAUACAGGAUAUAACCUGUUGGGAUUGUCUUUGGUUUUUUUUUUAACUCAGAAUAAUUUCCUUGAGAUCCAGUCAACUUGUUGCAAGUAUUAGUAGUUGCUUUUUAUACCAUUCCAUGGUAUGGAUACACCACAUUUUGUUUAUCCAUUCAACAGUUGAUGGACAUUGUGUUUUUUCCAGUUUGGGGCUAUUAUGAAUAAAGAUGCUAUGACCAUUUGAGUACAAGUUUUGUGUGGGCAUGAGUCUUUAUUUCUUUGGGAUAAAUGCCCAAGAAUGUACUAUCUAGGUUGUAUAGUAAGCACAAGUUUAGUUUUUAAAGAAACCACCAUACUCUUUUCCAGAGUGGCUGUAUCAGUUUACUUUCCCACUAGCAAUGUAUGAGUGAGCCAUCUCCUCUGCAUCAUUGCCAAAAUUUGAUGUUAUCACUAUUUUUUAUUUUAACCAUUCUAAUAAAUGUGUAGUGAUAUGCUGCAUAAUCCUGCUCACAGCAACAAUUGUUUUGUGAUUGUUCCAUGGAAAGCGGGAUCAACCUCCCACCCAAAUUUGGUUCAAAUGUUGAGACUGUUGACACCAAACACACACAGUAAGAGGGUAUGAAAAGAGGGAAUUAUUCACAUAACGGGACUUUUUUGGGGGGAAGCAAGUCAGGCACCCAAGCCAGUCUGUGAUGGCUUGAGUGAAGGGAGGGGCAAGCGGCUUUGGAUUUUACUAUGAUUAGGGAGUGGGGCCGGGAUGAGGAUUCCCAUGUGUGGGCAUGGAUUUUCAUGGUUUGACCUUCCCUGGAGGUGCCAAGGAGGGAGUACCCAGGCUUUCUUAUCAGCUUGCCCAGAUAGAGGGCAAAAGGGGAAGAAGGAGAGGUGGAACCUGGAUUUAGACACUUCAUUGUAAAUUGUUUUUGCA
rnacentral:lncRNA from 1 species